rnacentral:rRNA from 1 species
AUUGAACGCUGGCGGCAGGCCUAACACAUGCAAGUCGAACGAGUGGCGGACGGGUGUGUAAUGUCUGGGAAACUGCCCGCUGGAGGGGGAUAACUACUGGAAACGGUAGCUAAUACCGCCUACCAUCGGAUGUGCCCAGAUGGGAUUAGCUUGUAGGUGAGGUAACGGCUCACCUGGGCGACGAUCCCUAGCUGGUCUGAGAGGAUGAUCAGUCACACUGGAACUGAGACACGGUCAAGACUCCUACGGGAGGCAGCAGUGGGGAUUAUUGGACAAGGGGCGAAGGCCUGAUCCAGCCAUGCCGCGUGUGUGAAGAAGGUCUUCGGAUGGUAAAGCACUUUAAGUGGGGAGGCGUUACCAACAGAAUAAGCACCGGCUAACUUCGUGCCAGCAGCCGCGGUAAUUC